GGGACCGGAGGCCGGGCCGCCCCUCCCCCGUGCCGUCGCCUGGCGGACAUGGCCGCGCCCCACGCCCGGGGGAGCCGCAGCCGAAGCUUCCGCGCGCUGCGGACUCACCGGAGAGGGGCGCGCACGGACGCACGGACGCCAGAGCCCGCCCCGGAGCAUGUGGAAGCUGAGCCGGGGCCGGGUGCUUUUGGACGAGCCCCCCGAGGAGGAGGACGGCCUUCAGGGGGGGCCGCCGCCCGCCGCCUCGGCCGCCGCCGCCGCCGCGCAGAAAAAAAUAUAUCCACUUGUUUUUUCUGAUGUCAAGCAGUUCCCCAGUCCUCUGAAACCAGUUCAGUUCCGUCACCACCUGGAGUGAGCAAGACCAGGGCUCCGGCCGCUCCCACCACACGGGGAGUGACACCAGCAAGAUGGCAGAGAGGAAAGGAAGCCUCUGACUUUGCUUCCGUGCAGAGACACCAGCUUAGCAGUUUAGCAGUACGUGUCCCCAACAGCUCUGUGAGAACUCCAGAAGCCCAUCAAGAAGCUGCAGUGAAGGGAACAGCUGCGCUGAAAUGGGAAAGGGUUGGUUUCCCCUGUAGUAGCCAUUGGCCUGAGUUGCACGCCUCAGCAUAACUGGUCGUAAGGGCCAGACUUGUGCUUCUGUAUCAGAAGGGAAGCAGGCAUCCCGAAGGACUGGUUUCUGACUUUCUGGCCAGCCAGAUGCUGGUAGAACUGGCACGUUUGGACCCCUGUGGCCCAAGGACCACCGAAUACAGCUGCUCGUUGCAGCAUUAGGGAGCCUGCAGUGACGCAGACAGACACCAGAGGGGACAAGAGGUUACAGGCUCCUGAGAACCUUCUAACAGCGAGGUCACAUGCCCAGCUCAGAGAGGGCACCCCGCAGGAAAGGCUUGGGAGGCUCUAAAACUCGCCAGCUAUGCUGACCAGUGAAGGGCUUUCCCUGUGUGAAGCCAGUCCAUAAACACUGGGAGAGGGGGCUGUUUUUUCAAAUCCUAGCAAAGAAAAUACAAAGGCAGACACAGCAAUAGGGAAAUAUGGCCCAAUCACAGCAACAAGAUAAAUAUCCAGAAACUGGCCCUACAGAACCUGAGACCUGUGAAUUACCCAAGAAUUCAAAAUAAUUGUGUUAAACUCAAUAAGCUGUGAGGGAACAUGGAUAACUAAAGGAAAUCAAGAAAGUGAUGCCGGAACAAAAAGUAAAUAUCAACAAAGAAAUAGAUAGUAUGAAAAAGAAUCAAAUAAAUGCUGGAGCUGAAGAAUAUAAUGACUAAAUUGAAAAAUUCCCUGCAGGUCUUCAACAACAGUCAAUCAAGCAGAACAAAGAAUCAGUGAAUAUGAAGACAAGUAGCCUGCAAUUAUUGUCAGGAACAAAAAGAAAACAGAAGGACCAAGUGUGGAAAGCCUGAGAGGCUUAUGGGACGCAGACAUGUGGACCGCUAGAUGCAUGUGGAGAAGUAGGGGGACUAAAGGGCAGAAAACUUAUCUGAAGAAGUGAUGGCAGGAGACUUCCCAAAGCUGAGAAAGGAAACGAACAUCCACAUUCAAGCAGCUCAAAGGAUUCCAAGUAAGACAAACUCAACAGAGGUCCCAGACACAUUAUAAUAAAACUGUCAGAAGGUAUAAGGCAAGGAGAGAAUCUUGAAAGCUGCAAGGAAAAAGGGAGUUGUCAUCGAGGGAGCUCCCAUAAGAUUCUCAGCAGAUAUCCCAGCAGAAACAUUACAGGCCAGGAGGGAGUGGGAGGAUGUAUGCAAAGUGCUGAAGGAAAAAAAUGGCCAAGCAAGAAUACUAUACCUGGCAAAACUGUCCUUCAGAAAUGAAAGAGAAAUAACGACCUUCUCAGCUAAACAAAAGUUGAAGGAGUACAUCAUCAUUAGACGUGCUUUACCAGAAACACUAAGGAAGGCCUUCAAAGUGAAAUGAAAAGAUGCUAAACGCAACAGGAAAGCUUGUGGAAACAUAAAGCUCUUUGGUAAAGGCAAAUAUAUGGACAGAUACAAGAUCCUGUAAUACUGUAGUGUAGUGUAGUGGUGGCAUGUAAACCACUUUUACUUUGGGUAUAGAACUUAAAAGCAUAAAAAGUAACUGUAAUUACAUAACUAUGUUGAUGGAUAUUGUUGAUUAAGAAAUGUCCAAGCCUGUAGAGAAUUCUUGUAACCGUUUAUUGGGAGCCCAAAAUGAUGACAAUGCCGAGAACCAAAAUCUCAGAUGCCCCCGACAGUGACAGUUUUGCAGCUUCUUUUAUGCAUUUGAGAUUAAGGAAGAUGACAUGGAGGUGGCAGAAAGCCAGGCGGGGAUGGAUUACAGGAGAGUCACCACAGUGCUCUGAGGGUGGUUACACCUUGGAGGGGUCUGGAAAGACAAUUACUUGGCAUUUCAAAGGUGUUAACUAGAUUCACAUACACAGAGGAUGGGCCUGGUUUAAGGCAAAGGCAAACCUUUUACUAAAGAAAUUAGUAAAUUAGUAAGAAAUUAGUCACGCCUGGAGCGUGACUGCCCACUGUGACCUGCCCAGGUAGGGAUUUAUGGUCUUAUCACCCAGUGAGGUUACUUUCAGUUAGAACACCCAAACCUGUAGAGAAUUUUUGUAAAAAUUUAUUUGAGCCAAGCAGGAUAUGCCUAGAAGCA